rnacentral:rRNA from 1 species
UGGGGAAUAUUGGACAAUGGGGGCAACCCUGAUCCAGCAAUGCCGCGUGUGCGAUGAAGGCCUGCGGGUUGUAAAGCACUUUCGGUGAGGAAGAAACGCUCAGAUAUAAUACAUUUGAGAACUGACGUUACUCACAGAAGAAGCACCGGCAAACUCUGUGCCAGCAGCCGCGGUAAUACAGAGGGUGCAAGCGUUAAUCGGAGUUACUGGGCGUAAAGGGCGUGUAGGCUGAUAUUUAAGUCGAUUGUGAAAUCCCUGGGCUUAACCUAGGAAUUGCAGUCGAUACUGGAUGUCUAGAGUAUGGUAGAGGAAAGCGGAAUUCUCGGUGUAGUGGUUAAAUACGUAGAUAUCGAGAAGAACACCAGUUGCGAAGGCGGCUUUCUGGGCCAAUACUGACGCUGAGGCGCGAAAGCGUGGGGAGCAAACAGG